UACGUAGGGUGCGAGCGUUGUCCGGAAUUAUUGGGCGUAAAGAGCUUGUAGGCGGUUUGUCGCGUCUGCUGUGAAAAUCCGGGGCUCAACCCCGGACUUGCAGUGGGUACGGGCAGACUUGAGUGUGGUAGGGGAGACUGGAAUUCCUGGUGUAGCGGUGAAAUGCGCAGAUAUCAGGAGGAACACCGAUGGCGAAGGCAGGUCUCUGGGCCACUACUGACGCUGAGAAGCGAAAGCAUGGGGAGCGAACAGG
rnacentral:rRNA from 1 species